UCUUCCAUGAAGCGAAAUUUCUUGAAACUUCUCGACGGAUUUUUUACAAAAGCCCACGAUUCAAGGAUGAGGUGGCGAGAUGCGACAACAAGUUUGUCGCUCUUUUUUUUUUUUCUUUUGAUUACUUUCCAAUCUCACGCUUGCCGUGCCUCCUUCGCUACGCGCGAAAAGAUCUUUCGCCGAGUCGUGAUAACGGCGUGUAAGUAUCGCUAUCGGUCGCAAAAAGAGGAGUGGUCGACCGAGAUUUUUUUUUUUAUCGGGCAUACCACCCUCUCAUUUCAUCCUCAUCGCGAUCGAAAUAAAUUUUACUUCCUCAGAAUCGAUUAAGCGGCUAUUCCGAGCCUUGCGAGAUACGAGGCAAUUAUCUGUCAUAAUUAGUCAGACUCCGUUACGACUCGAAUGGCGGUUAAUUUACAUAAGACCGAUAACAUCUUACGCGUCGCGCUCGGGGAUAAUCCGAGACCGGCAAGAACGAUAAAUCUUUCCUCGUGGAUUCAACCCUCGACCGCGCUUGGUUUCCUCAAUUGACGAUUCUCGACGUAGCUAAAUAUUCAAAAUUAUCGAUCGCAUCGAAAAUAAUCGCGCGCACCGGGUUCUCCCUUAUCAUAAUUUAUAGCAAAAAGCAUAGUGCCCUAUAAUAACCCUUUCCGACAUCCGCUUGUGCUUUCACAUUUUUUUUUACAGACAAGAAUAAAUAUAUAUUCUUGCCUCUAAAAAAAUUAAAUUGCGAAAACACAAGUUAAUUAGAAAAGUAGAUUUAGAAAAUAAAUAGUAGCUUAUAAUUACAUAGAAAAUAAAUUAACAGUGUCAUAUAUAUAUGUAACAUCGUAAUAAAAUUUCGUCAAAUGGAAAGGGUUAAAUCGUCAAAGGGUUAAACAAUCGCGAUCGAGGGAACCUUGAACACGCAGCUCUCUUACUUAUUCGCUGUCCGUUUGAUGCUCAAAAAAUAAUACCAUCUGGUUACGCUAUUGUAGUUGUUUCUGCGAGGUUACCCAAAUAAUCGCGUUCGAGGCCGCGCUUUCUUUGGAAUUUACUAUUUAUUCGCUAGGUUGUAUGAAUAGAGACGAGAGAGUUCUUCGCAUUUUUCUCUCGACGCGAACAGAGAAAAGAGAUUGGUACAAAAAGACGAGGUGAUAUUUAAAGUAUGUAAUAACGAACAAAAAGCACUGACAAGCUGCAAAAUACAUACAGAGAGGUACAAAUAUAAUCGAAAACAAGUAAUCGUAAUCUUCGGAACUGGCGUGUGUGUCGUAUUAAAUUAAAUGUUGCGCACAUGUAUAUGCGCAUUGUGUGUCUGUGUGUAUUAUAAUCGUGUUAUUUUACAAACGUUUUGCAUUUAAGCGCGGAUAUGCCAUUUCACAUAAUCGUAUCGAUGAUAAUUAUCUUGGCGCUAUUCUCGAUCAACGAAAGGACUGUCAGCAAUCGAUUAAGUAUAUCGUCGGUGUUAAUUAAUGCAUCGCGAGGUUCUUUUGUUUCUUUUUCCCAUUCUAAACGGAUUUCUUUUUGUUUCUCCUCGUCGCAUUCUCUCCCUCUCUCUCGCUCGAUCUAUCUCUCUCUCUCUCUCUCUCUCUGAAUUUCUCGCCAUGCGCAUAACACUGUUCCGCGACUCUCUUUUGUAUGCUUUCGUUAUUUAUAUAUAUGUAUAUAUAAAAAUACAAAAAAUAAUUUACAAAAUGAUAUUAUAAGUUAUAUUACACGCGAGUUUUUUCGAUAUCAAUAUUUCGUCGGAGCCCCAUACAAGUCGCUCGGUAAAUUUCAAGAAACGCCUCAUCGUCGCUUCGUGACACUGUUUAAACAAAAUAUAAUGUAGCGGUAUAUAUGUAUAUAUAUAUAAUCGAUAUUUAUAUAAGUGUAUAUACAUAUGCGUAUACAUGCAUACAUACAUACAUAUGUGUAUAUAUGUAUAUAUAUUCCAUGUACAUGCACGUAUCUAUCUAUAUAUAUUCACGGGCCGUGAUAGAAACAGAAACAAAUCCAUCAUUAACAGGCUAAUGUAGUUAUCAAACCACUGUAUUAUAUAUUAACAAAAAUAUAUAUUAUAUAUAUAAUAUAGUAAUAUAUAUAUUAUAUAUAUAUUUUAUGUCAUAUAUAUAUAUAUAUUGCAGAGUGUGUUUGUUUUAUCGCUACUUUACACGACGUUACCACGGUUAUUUGUAUUAUUUUUUUGCCAUUUAUGUAAGAGACAAUAUCGAUCUCGCUAUAGUUUAUAGACACAUGAUACUUUAAAGAGACAGAUUACUGACUUCUUUUUUAUUUCUUCUUGUAAACUCUUGUGUGUACCCGAGUGACUUUGAACGAAUCUGUAUGUGUAUGUAUGUGUGUAUGUGUGCGCGUAUAUGUAUACACUUACUUAUAUGUGUGGCUUCUGUCUGAACUUUCCCUUUCAACGAAUUAGUACAUCCAUUUUACGGGGUAUGGAAAAAACUAUGCGUAAUUUUUUUUUCUCGCUUAUAAAGUAUUCAUUACAAUCGUAUCGUAAACGUAUAAUACUAUAUGUUUUUUUUUGUGUAUCUCAAUUAGUAUAUGCUCUAUCAGUAUUAAUUAGAUUCGCUUAACUUUUUCCUCUCGUUCUCUCACUUUCUCUUUCUCUCUCUCUCUCUUUUUCUCACUGUUGAUUCGCGCCGUUCUAUUCGCGCCCAGUUGCGCAUUCUAUUGCGCGCGUCUCCUAUGUAUUUAGUAUAUCCCCUUUUUUUAUUCCCUUAGUUUCACUUUUGUUUGUUUAUUUGUUUGUUUUGAAGAGUAUACAUCGUGUUUGAUUCUUCGCUAAUCUGAGCCUCUCGUCUCAAGCCCGAGAUCCAUUUGAUUCGCGACUUAUUGCAUUGUGAGUUGCCACUCUCGCUCUCUCCUCCGUCUCGUGUCCUAUCCCCGUAAUUUCGCACUUUGUGCUCCGUCGUCCAUCUUCUCCGCCUCUUCGCUUCUCCUUCCCUCCUUCCUUUCCGUCGCCCUCGCUGGACCGUGAAAUUUUCGGAUCGCGCGUACACGUCGACUGUAAGCCGACGUCUUUCAUAUAAACGUCGUGUGUUAUUCGAGUGCCGUUCAAAAGUCCGAAGGCCCGAGAUUCGUUUAAAGUCUGCAAAGUUUCCGCGGACACGAUGAUUUCCAAAGUUUUCCGUCCGCGCGCGGAUUUCUUUUCAACUGUCCUCUUCGUCGUCCGCCUGUUCGAAAUGUCAGCAGAAUGCGACCGUGCGCCGUCGAAACUUUCGCGAUCUCGUGCCUGGAGAGAGAAAGAAUUUCUCUCGCGUGCCCGGAAUUUCCUCUCGCCCGCAAAGUUAGUCGCGCCCGAGAUCCGGCGAUGCCGAGCGAAGACCGACGGAUUUUCUUCCCGAUUUAAUCUUCAUCGUGCGAAAAAGAAAAUCUGUGCCGCUCAAGAAAUCAAUCAAAUUGUUAGAAAAAUUACGAGAAUAAACGCCGCGUCCGUUCGAUCGCGAUGGGACGACGGAAACGAGGAGUGUUCCGAGUUGAAAUUUUGCUCCUAUUUUCAUCUUCAAUUUUCUCAUCCUCUGGUUUCUGGAAAAUUUCGAUAUUUAAUUUAUGUAGAUAUUAAGCUUCUUUUUACACCUCAAAUAGGUAACGAACAGUUUCCUAUUCAGAGAUUUAAAAAAGGAGCUUUUGGCAUAAUUAUAGAUUAAAAAAUUUCAAAAGAGAGUGAUCUUACUAUUUAAAGUAGAUGGUGGAUUGAAAAUUGAGAUAGAAAAUAGGAGAAAAAUUUCGAUUCAGAUCCAUUUCAUCGCGAGAUGAAUUCUCUUGACGUCAUCGUUUGCGAGAUUCGUUGACGGAACGCGAUGCGAAACUGGUCUCGAUGCACAAUGAUACUCGAAUGCGUAUCUAAAAAGAAGAUAAACUCGUCAGAUGUCAUCGAAGCGAUUUUUGCAUUAUGAUUAGUUACUUGGAAAAUCGAUAUUAGUAUUCUAUGAAAGAAUAAUUUUUUAAGAAUAAUUUUAAUAAUUUUGUAAUAACGAUCACACAAAAUUUUCGCGAAAUCGACAGAGUAAAUCAUUAUAAGAAAUAUUUAUCGAUAAAGAGAUUUCUCAUUAUACAGAUAUCGAGUCGAUCAGUAAAUCUCGAUACGCACCGAGACAUCAUAUUACAAUUCGAUCUUUUCCAGCGGCAUUUUCCCCCCUUCCUCCCCCUCCAUUCAUCGUCUCUAUCUUACUCGCAUCUUCGUCAAUUUCUCUUUAACAAUAGCAGGUACUAGCAUAGCUACCACAGUCGUACGUAUCGUUAAUAGUUACAAUUAAGUUUAGAUAUUACUAAAGGGUUCUGUCCUUUAUCAGCGUCCACCCUCACGUCUACUUAGUUAAUUUCGCGGUUAAAACUUGUUUCACACCCACCGGGCCCGCCCGGAGACCACCCGCCCACCAUCCCCGCAUUUCUUCUAAAGCUGACGUAUUUAUUGAUUAAAUCUACAACUAUGUUCAACUACGCUUUGGACCAAGAUGUCGUGUAAAAAAAUUCUUCUUUUCUUUCUUUGAAAUAACGCGGCUCCCGUAAUUCGCGAUCGCAAAUUCUAAGGACGAUGUUGUAAGUCUGUUAUCUGUGUGUUUUACAGAGACUUUAUAUUGAAAAAUGGACCUUACGAAGCACGAAUCACGCCGAUUUCUUGGAUUGCCGCAGCGGGGAGGAUCGUCCAUUAACUAGGGGGAUUAAGGAUAAUUCGCUACAAGAUCUAUAUAAAAGUGCGCGUAAGAAAGAACGACAUCACACAUCUCGUCCCUGGAGAUCGUGUUGUCGUAGAAAUUAGUCUAAGGAGAGUAGACGCGCUGUCUAAUCGGAUCGGACCGGCGAUCUCCGGGAUUCCCUCCCCCCCUCGGGCCCGUUCUCCUCGCGUUUUGUCCCACGACCACAGGAUUAAACACUUUUGAAUACUUUUAGCACCUAGUGCGCGCGGCCCGCGGCUCGCGGCACCUCCGCCGCCGUUACUGUCGGCUCUCGUCAGCAAGACCGUCAAUCGCGAUUGUCGCAAGAAAUUAAGCGCAUGUUUCCCGCGGACAGUGAAAAAUCCACCUCGCCAACAUCCGCGAAACUCCCGCUGAAUCGAGUUUCUCAAGUCGCGUAUACACUGAGCGUUAUUAUUAUUAUUAUCUUGGGGGGGAUUACAAAGUAACUUUAAAUUAGCUCCAUUAUCGAUUCGAGGCACGAUCUCGAAGCUGGAUGGAAUAUACGGAGCCAGUGGCUCACACAAAACGCGACCCAUAAUUAUCUUCUUUUGUACAGACGAGUUUAAAAAGGAAGACGGUUCCGAUCAAGUGAAAAAGGAAUUUUCAUUGCAAAGUGUCACUUGAGAGAGGAGUCGUGUUUGCCAUUUAUAUCAAAAGUUUAUAGUAAUAGUGAAGCUCUGAUGACGUUUUGAAAUAAACAUUUUGUAGUAAAAGUCAAUCGUGCCUGAUGGAAUUAAAAAUUCAACUGCUAGAUUAAUUUACAACAAGAAUAUUAAAGUAGAUUUUUUUUGAAAUAAUCAUUUAACGUCAUAACUGAAAUGCAUUAAGAGACGAUCGACGCGAUUCUCGCGAUCAGACGAGCUCGUCGACAAUAACGCGCGGCCUUUUAAUUACGUAAUCACCUAAUUAACCUUGUGAACACUAAGCGACAACUCGUUGCUCUCGCGAGAUUGUCCCCCGCCCGCCCGCUCGAUCAUUCUUCUUUUGGAUUGGCUCUCUUUUUCGCGCUAUCUUUGUACUUGAUUCUUUUGUUUUUAGCACCGUAAAGCUCAGCGGGCGACUCCGUUCGGUUUGAUUAAAAGGAUGCUGCCACGAGGAAUCAACUUUGCUGCUAAACUUAAAAUCGUUUUUUUAAUCCUUAUUGAAGCAAUUUAUUUUGAUCAAUAAAUUACGUUUCUUGCUCGUCUACAAAUAAUUAUUUAUAUAAAUAGAGUACUCUCUACAACGAUUAUACAAAAUAAUAACGAGAGGGAAUUUCCGGAUUCCAAAACACAUAACGGCAAAGGGGCCGUGGUUUAACGAUUCGAAGAGGUUUUCUCUGACAGCUUGGAGGGUCAUCGACUCCGGAUGUCAAAUCGAAAGGCAAUAUCUCGAAAGGAAAUCGAUUCCCGAUGGUUUUUCUGAGGACGGGCGGGGACCGGCAACGAAGUCACUCAACGUCCCUUACGAACACACCGGCUGGCUCUUUUUCUACUUCCUCCUUUGCUCCUCUUCUUCUUUCUCCUACUGCACAUCACUCGCCAUACACUCUCUUGCUCUCUCUCUCUCUUUCUCUCUCGUUUUCUCUCCUACAUUCUACUGCAUUUAUU